GUAACACGUGGGAACGUGCCUUUUGGUUCGGAAUAGCUCCUGGAAACGGGUGGUAAUGCCGAAUGUGCCCUUCGGGGGAAAGAUUUAUCGCCAUUAGAGCGGCCCGCGUCUGAUUAGCUAGUUGGUGAGGUAAAGGCUCACCAAGGCUACGAUCAGUAGCUGGUCUGAGAGGAUGACCAGCCACAUUGGGACUGAGACACGGCCCAAACUCCUACGGGAGGCAGCAGUGGGGAAUCUUGCGCAAUGGGCGAAAGCCUGACGCAGCCAUGCCGCGUGAAUGAUGAAGGUCUUAGGAUUGUAAAAUUCUUUCAGUAGGGACGAUAAUGACGGUACCUACAGAAGAAGCCCCGGCUAACUUCGUGCC
rnacentral:rRNA from 1 species